UCCCAUUGCUCAAAAUCUCAAGUGUGUCCCCAAUGUGCAUGACGAUGGAAUUUGGAACGCACUUGGCAGUGACCCACUUUCCUUCAUAGAAAAGCUGCAGGCCAGGAACCAUGUUGUGGAGGAUGAAGGUGAGUGCACUCACGUCAGUGUGAGCUUCAACACCAAGUGCAAGCUCCGGCUGAGGGCAUUUUGGGUAGUAGUUGAUUUUCAUUUGCAAGAGGAGCUCUUCAAGUCCACCAACUUCUUUCUCCAGCCUCCCUUCAUCCAAUCCCAAGCCAAGUGACAGAACUUUCAGUACCUUGGUUGCUAGCUCC
rnacentral:lncRNA from 1 species